CCCUGAUGGCUCAGAUGGUAAAAUAUCUGCCUGAAAUGCAGGAGACCUGGGUUCAAUCCCUGGAUCAGGAA
rnacentral:tRNA from 1 species